ACUUGUGCUCUUCCCAUAUGUACAUUCUUGAGGUCUUUUAUCUGUUGUAGCUUUGUCUUUUUCUUUUUCUUUUCAUUACAUCAGGUAUAUUGCCCUGUAAAUUGUGGUAGUGGUACCAGGAAUAAAAAAUUAAGGAAUUUUUAACUUUUCAAUAUUUGUGUAGUUCAGUUUUUCUACAUUUUAGUACAGAAACUUUAACAAAAUGCAGUUUUGAAGGUGUCUCCUUGUGAGUUAACAAGAAGAUCAUUGUUAAUUACUAUUUUGUAUGAAUUUUGCUAAAGUUAACUGUAAAGAAACACCUGCUGACUUGCAGUUUAAGGGGAAUCUAUUCUCCGCAUUUCCAAACCAUGAAAUGAAUGGGCUCUGACAGGUGGAGAGAACAGAUAUUUGUAUGUUUGCAAUGUGUGUUUUAGAUAAAUAGAAUUGGGUAUUUAAAUUAGCAUAUUUGUGAAUUUAAUAGCAUUAAGAUUUACCUUCAAAUGAAAAAUCUCAAAAUUC